UAAGCAUAUCAAUAAGCGGAGGAAAAGAAACCAACAGGGAUUGCCCCAGUAACGGCGAGUGAAGCGGCAACAGCUCAAAUUUGAAAUCUGGCCCCCAGGGCCCGAGUUGUAAUUUGCAGAGGAUGCUUUUGGCGCGGUGCCUUCCGAGUUCCCUGGAACGGGACGCCAUAGAGGGUGAGAGCCCCGUCUGGUCGGACACCAAGCCAGUGUAAAGCUCCUUCGACGAGUCGAGUAGUUUGGGAAUGCUGCUCUAAAUGGGAGGUAUAUGUCUUCUAAAGCUAAAUACCGGCCAGAGACCGAUAGCGCACAAGUAGAGUGAUCGAAAGAUGAAAAGCACUUUGAAAAGAGGGUUAAACAGUACGUGAAAUUGUUGAAAGGGAAGCGUUUAUGACCAGACUUGGGCCCGGUGAAUCAUCCAGCGUUCUCGCUGGUGCACUUCGCCGGGCCCAGGCCAGCAUCAGUUCGCCGCGGGGGAUAAAAGCUUCGGGAACGUGGCUCCCUCGGGAGUGUUAUAGCCCGUUGCAUAAUACCCUGUGGCGGACUGAGGUUCGCGCUCCGCAAGGAUGCUGGCGUAAUGGUCAUCAGCGACCCGUCUUGAAACACGGACCAAGGAGUCGUCUUCGUAUGCGAGUGUUCGGGUGUAAAACCCCUACGCGUAAUGAAAGUGAACGCAGGUGAGAGCUUCGGCGCAUCAUCGACCGAUCCUGAUGUUCUCGGAUGGAUUUGAGUAAGAGCAUACGGGGCCGGACCCGAAAGAAGGUGAACUAUGCCUGUAUAGGGUGAAGCCAGAGGAAACUCUGGUGGAGGCUCGCAGCGGUUCUGACGUGCAAAUCGAUCGUCAAAUAUGGGCAUGGGGGCGAAAGACUAAUCGAACCUUCUAGUAGCUGGUUUCCGCCGAAG
rnacentral:rRNA from 1 species